rnacentral:rRNA from 1 species
GGGGGACAUGGAUACAGGUGGUGCAUGGUUGUCGUCAGCUCGUGUCGUGAGAUGUUGGGUUAAGUCCCGCAACUAGCGCAACCCUUAUUAUCAGUUGCCAGCAUUAAGUUGGGCACUCUGUGGAGACUGCCGGUGACAAACCGGAGGAAGGUGGGGAUGACGUCAAAUCAUCUGCCCCUUAUGACCUGGGCUACACACGUGCUACAAUGGAUGGUACAACAGUUGCGA